AGAGUUUGAUCCUGGCUCAGAUUGAACGCUGGCGGUAUGCUUAACACAUGCAAGUCGAACGGAAACGAUACUAGCUUGCUAGUAGGCGUCGAGUGGCGGACGGGUGAGUAACGCGUAGGAAUCUGCCUGAUAGUGGGGGAUAGCCCAGAGAAAUCUGGAUUAAUACCGCAUAAUCUCUAUGGAGAAAAGGAGCCCUCUUCUUGAAAGGUUUCGCUAUCAGAUGAGCCUGCGUAAGAUUAGCUUGUUGGUGAGGUAAAAGCUCACCAAGGCGACGAUCUUUAGCUGGUCUGAGAGGAUGAUCAGCCACACUGGGACUGAGACACGGCCCAGACUCCUACGGGAGGCAGCAGUGGGGAAUAUUGGACAAUGGGCGCAAGCCUGAUCCAGCAAUACCGCGUGUAUGAAGAA
rnacentral:rRNA from 1 species